rnacentral:rRNA from 1 species
AGUCGAACGGUACAGGAAGAAGCUUGCUUCUUUGCUGACGAGUGGCGGACGGGUGAGUAAUGUCUGGGAAACUGCCUGAUGGAGGGGGAUAACUACUGGAAACGGUAGCUAAUACCGCAUAACGUCGCAAGACCAAAGAGGGGGACCUUCGGGCCUCUUGCCAUCGGAUGUGCCCAGAUGGGAUUAGCUAGUAGGUGGGGUAACGGCUCACCUAGGCGACGAUCCCUAGCUGGUCUGAGAGGAUGACCAGCCACACUGGAACUGAGACACGGUCCAGACUCCUACGGGAGGCAGCAGUGGGGAAUAUUGCACAAUGGGCGCAAGCCUGAUGCAGCCAUGCCGCGUGUAUGAAGAAGGCCUUCGGGUUGUAAAGUACUUUCAGCGGGGAGGAAGGGAGUAAAGUUAAUACCUUUGCUCAUUGACGUUACCCGCAGAAGAAGCACCGGCUAACUCCGUGCCAGCAGCCGCGGUAAUACGGAGGGUGCAAGCGUUAAUCGGAAUUACUGGGCGUAAAGCGCACGCAGGCGGUUUGUUAAGUCAGAUGUGAAAUCCCCGGGCUCAACCUGGGAACUGCAUCUGAUACUGGCAAGCUUGAGUCUCGUAGAGGGGGGUAGAAUUCCAGGUGUAGCGGUGAAAUGCGUAGAGAUCUGGAGGAAUACCGGUGGCGAAGGCGGCCCCCUGGACGAAGACUGACGCUCGGGUGCGAAAGC